UUUGGUAAAGUUUGUUUUCUAAUGUUUCUUGCUGCUAUCAUUGGCCUCUCUGCUGCGUCUAGAAUUGGAGUAGAUGAAAUCAGGGUUUGCUCUUACAGUAGAUGCAGAAAUGGAGGCUCGUUUGAGAAUGCAAGUUGCAUGAAGUUUUGCCGUGAUAAGUAUUAUGCUGAGGGCUACUGCCUGCCUCAACGCAAUUCAAAACCGGUUUGUUGUUGUAUGGUAUGAUGAACCCCUAAAUGUUGCACACUACCCAAGAAUUUGAAAGCUUCUACAAUUUAAUAUAUUAAUAAUAAGUACUCUUUAAUUUAAAAGAGUUUCAAAA